UACGUAGGGUGCGAGCGUUGUCCGGAUUUAUUGGGCGUAAAGAGCUCGUAGGCGGCUCGUCGCGUCGACCGUGAAAACCCGCGGCUUAACUGCGGGCUUGCGGUUGAUACGGGCGGGCUAGAGUUCGGUAGGGGAGACUGGAAUUCCUGGUGUAGCGGUGAAAUGCGUAGAGAUCGGGAGGAACACCUGUGGCGAAGGCGGCCGACUGGGCCGACCCUGACGCUGAGGCGCGAAGGCGUGGGGAGCGAACGGG
rnacentral:rRNA from 1 species